AUGGUAGAGGAAAGCACCUCUCACCUCCCCCAGCCCGGGCCGAAGCCACACACACCCCCAGCUCUCGGCAGGGGCGGGCGGGGCGGGGCGGGGGGGGGGGGGGGAAGCGGAGAAGGGGGAGGGAAAGAGGGAGGACGGGGCAGCCUGCAGGGGCAGCAGCUACUGCCUUCUCUGCAUCUCGGUGGCCGGGGCUGGAAGGAAGCUGAAGCCGCAACCCCAAGUCAGCCCCCGCUGCCCCGUCCCACCGCCUCAUCUCUCCCCCCUCGGCAUUGCAAAUCAGCUUCUCUGGUCUUUACCUAUUACAGCCAUACCUAUCCACUUAAAUAUUCAACCAUCGGUUUAAACUCAGUUGUUCUGAAAUGGACUACUUUCUCCAGAAAACCUAUUUUAUUUGGGAGAAAAAUAAAUCACAAAGCUAGAAAAGGCAAAAGAAAAUUAGGAAGGCAUGUGUAAUUAUGAAAGAAGAAAUGAGAAAAUAGAAACCCAGAAAAACUGAUAAGUGAGUAUAAGAGUCAGACUGUGAAAUGACAUGUAAGUUGAAAAAUCCCUGGGGAGGGAUGCCUGGGUGGCUCAGCAGUUAAGUGUCUGCCUUCAGCCCAGGGCGUGAUCCUGGAGUCCCGGGAUCGAGUCCCACAUCAGGUUCCCUGCAUGGAGCCUGCUUCUCCCUCUGCCUGUGUCUCUGCCUCUCUCUCUCUCAUUCUCUCUCUGUGUCUCAUGAAUAAGUAAAUAAAAUCUUAAAAAACAAAAACAACCUCCCGGCGAAAGUAAUCAAGAAUACAAGAGGAAUAAGGAAAAAGGAAGCACAACAUUAGAAAUGUAAUGUAGUGGUUGAAUUCAUGUUCAUUUAGAAUGUCAGAGUGUGACCUUACUGAAAAUAGGGUCUUUGCCGAUGUAAUUAAAGUGAAGUCAUACUGGAUAAGCAUAAACCCUAAAUCCAAUGAUUGGUGAGCACACCAAAAGCGGGGGCAGACAGAAUGAUACACACAGUGUUUGGUGGACAGACAGAAAAACAGAGACACGGGGAAAAAGGCCAUGUGAAGAUGGAGGCAGAGAUUUGAGUUACACUGACACAAGCCAAGGAAUGUCAGGAGCCCCCAGGAGCUGGAAGAAGCAAGGAAGGAUUCUACCCC
rnacentral:lncRNA from 1 species